rnacentral:rRNA from 1 species
GAUCCUGGCUCAGAUUGAACGCUGGCGGCAGGCUUAACACAUGCAAGUCGAGCGGGGAAGGUUGCUUCGGUAACUAACCUAGCGGCGGACGGGUGAGUAAUGCUUAGGAAUCUGCCUAUUAGUGGGGGACAACGUUCCGAAAGGAACGCUAAUACCGCAUACGCCCUAUGGGGGAAAGCAGGGGAUCUUCGGACCUUGCGCUAAUAGAUGAGCCUAAGUCGGAUUAGCUAGUUGGUGGGGUAAAGGCCUACCAAGGCGACGAUCUGUAGCGGGUCUGAGAGGAUGAUCCGCCACACUGGGACUGAGACACGGCCCAGACUCCUACGGGAGGCAGCAGUGGGGAAUAUUGGACAAUGGGCGGAAGCCUGAUCCAGCCAUGCCGCGUGUGUGAAGAAGGCCUCUUGGUUGUAAAGCACUUUAAGCGAGGAGGAGGCUCCUUUAGUUAAUACCUAAAGAGAGUGGACGUUACUCGCAGAAUAAGCACCGGCUAACUCUGUGCCAGCAGCCGCGGUAAUACAGAGGGUGCGAGCGUUAAUCGGAUUUACUGGGCGUAAAGCGUGCGUAGGCGGCUUUUUAAGUCGGAUGUGAAAUCCCUGAGCUUAACUUAGGAAUUGCAUUCGAUACUGGAAAGCUAGAGUAUGGGAGAGGAUGGUAGAAUUCCAGGUGUAGCGGUGAAAUGCGUAGAGAUCUGGAGGAAUACCGAUGGCGAAGGCAGCCAUCUGGCCUAAUACUGACGCUGAGGUACGAAAGCAUGGGGAGCAAACAGGAUUAGAUACCCUGGUAGUCCAUGCCGUAAACGAUGUCU